AUUUUUCGACUCUGUAUCAUCGGUCUCGAAAACCGGAGUAGGGGCAACUCUACCGGGGGGGCAAAUCCCCCUCUCUCCGCCA
rnacentral:tRNA from 1 species